rnacentral:rRNA from 1 species
CCCUUAGAUGUUCUGGGCCGCACGCGUGCUACACUGAGUGGAUCAGCGGGUCAGGUUGCGCGAAAGUGUUUCCUAAUCUUGAAAUCCGCUCGUGAUGGGGAUUGACGGUUGCAAUUUUCCGUCAUGAACGAGGAAUACCUUGUAAGCGCGGGUCAUCAUCCCGCGCUGAAUACGUCCCUGCCCUUUGUACACACCGCCCGUCGCUCCUACCGAUUGAGUGGUCCGGUGAGACUUUGGGAUCUGAGCGGAAAGAGCGUUUCGCUGUUUCUGCUCGGAAAACUCAGUCGAACCUUAUCAUUUAGAGGAAGGAGAAGUCGUAACA